rfam:Halorubrum sp. J07HR59 genomic scaffold scf7180000001382, whole genome shotgun sequence.
GGGCCCUUAGCUCAGUCUGGUCCAGAGCACCCGGCUCAUAUCGGUUCCCGGACACGGGGCCGUGGGACACCGGGCGGUCGCUGGUUCGAAUCCUGCAGGGCCCA